AGAUGUAGAUGGAACCAAAGUCCAGAAGUUACGCGUCACCCUUGCUCUACAGCCAAACAUGCAGGACUCUAGUAACCCGCGAAAUGAUGGGAUAGCGUUGCAAAUCCUUAAAAGAGUCUUAACGGAGAAGGGAAAAUGUUACAUUGUCAAAGUCCCAAAGCCUUUCAGCCUGAAGCCAGGAACAAUUGUUCAAAGUUUCUUUGGAACAUCAAGGAAGGAAAUCCAGAUUUUACUUUAAGUGCAAUGGGGAGUCAUUAAGGAUUUUGUGUAGAUACAGCAAAAAGACAACAAUCUUCAAGCCACAAUGGCCCUCACCAGAACCCAGCCAUGUGGUCAGCCUGAUCUCGGACUUCACAGCCAGCAGAACUGUUUGUCAAAGAUCAGAUGGUUUCCUUAAGCUGAUAAGCAACUUCAACAAAGUCUCAGGAUACAAAAUCAAUGUGCAAAAAUCAUAAGCAUUCUUAUACACCAAUAACAGACAAACAGCCAAAUCAUGAGUGAACUUCCAUUCAUAAUUGCACAAAGAGAAUCAAAUACCUAGGAAUCCAGCUUACAAGGGAUGUGAAGGACCUCUUCAAGGAGAACUACAAACCACUGCUCAAUGAAAUAAAAGGGGACACAAACAAAUGGAAGAACAUUCCAUGCUCAUGGUUAGGAAGAAUCAAUAUCGUGAAAAUGGCCAUACUGCCCAAGAUAAUUUAUAGAUUCAAUGCCAUCCCCAUCAAGCUACCAAUGACUUUCUUCACAGAAUUGGAAGAAACUACGUUAAAGUUCAUAUGGAACCAGAAAAGAGCCUGCACUGCCAAGACAACCCUAAGCAAAAAGAACAAAGCUGGAGGCAUCAUGCCACCUGACUUCAAACUAUACUACAAGGCUACAGUAACCAAAGCAGCAUGGUACUGGUACCAAAACAGAGAUAUAGACCAACGGAACAGAACAGAGGCCUCAGAAAUAACACCACGCAUCUACAGUCUAUGGUAUUUUACUAUGGAAGCCCACCCUAAGAUUUCAAUUUAGCUUCCAUGUAGUUCCCUGGUGCUUGGCAAUCUCCUGACUCACUACCUUGUCACAUGGUCUAUCCCAAGUCAGUCCUUCUCCUCUUCCCAUAUCCCCCUACUCCAAUAUUCACCCAUAUGUGGCCAAGUCUUCCUCCACCUGAGCUCCUUGCAGAGGAAUGAACAAUUGUUUGAACAUUAAUGAAUAUUAAAUUUCAACAAGAAAGAAGCAUUAAAGGUCGCAGAGAGCAGAAAAAGGAAGAAAGUAACCGUCACUCGGAUCUUUCCAGACAAGGUUAUCUGAUCAUUUCAAAUUGGGACCACUUAGGAACUUUUUCUGUGUUGUUUCUUUAACUUUCAUGCAUUGAGUUGUGUGAGUACCCAAGAGUUCCUACAAAGAGGCUUGAUGGAAGAGACUUAAUAAUGUUUACAGAAUGUACCAAGAGGUCCAUCAGGGUGGGUCAGUUUGGAAAAUACAGAAGAAAACUCACAUUAAUAGAAAGUUCAAAUACCUAUGUAGUAGGAAGGAGACUGAGUGAAAAACACAUGCAAGAGAUUAGUUUUGAAUAGUGAAAGAAACUUGUUUAUCCCAAGCCCAGAGGGUGAGAAUGAGUACAAACAUAAAUGUAUCAAGGAGAAAGGAAAUUAAAGGACUUCUCAUAUGAUUGCUUCCAUUUUUUCUCUGGUUAGUAGGAGAAAAUAUAAUAUGCUAAAGAAGAUAAGGACAUGGUGAGGUACGUAGGUAAAGAAUAUAAUGAAAGUCCGGCAUAGCACUAUAAAAAUGCAUUAAUAAUUGUACAGUGUGUUAAGGACCCACAUGUGAUUAUGUAACUCCAGUUUACAAGAAGGCAUGAUUUCUUCUAGCUGUUCUCAGCAGCUUGCAUAUAACAGCAAAUACAGUUGAUAGAUCGUUCUGUGGUUGAUGAUUAUUUGAAUGGGUGUCGGGUAAGUCAAGGAUGAAGUCACCGAGAGUGCUGUCAAUAGAGUGGCUGAAAUAAUAAAACAAGGGUCCUAGGCUGUUUAAGGUUAGGAGAGAGUCAUGAGGGUGGGGGGUUGAUGGACUGAGAAGAAAUUAAGAGGAACAGAGUUUUAAGCUCUUCAUGAUACUGAAGAAUGGGUUUAGUGGGACAGUUGCAAAGCUAGAAAUUUGUAAUUAGAGAUGAUGAUUAUGUAUUGCAAAUACUUGUUUGCAUGUCUGCUAGCUCCUAGAGUACAGGAAUAUGCUGUGUUCAUUUUAACUUCCCUGAACAUAGCACCGUAUCUGGCACAUAGGUAGUAGUCAAUAAAUAAUCACUACAUGAAAGAUUGCAUGAAUAAAAUAAAGGUUUUCUUGGAUUUAUCACUGAUUCUACCUGCUUAGAAACUUUUGUUAGCUCUGGGACUAUUGUUCAUAAACAGCAACAAUUGUUAAAAGCACAUUAAGCAUAAGGAAAAACAUCUUAGUGUAGAGUUCAGAGCAUAGGCCCUAGAGCCCAAUUUCCUGCGUUUAAAUCUCAGUUCUUUUGCCGCUUAAUAGCUCUGUGAGUUUAGACAAAUUACUUGAUCUUUUUGUCUCAAUUUCCUCAUCUAGAAAUAGGGCUUACAAUAGCACAAAUAUACUGCAGAGGACUGAGGUAACUAUAAUAAAUUAAUAUUUGUAAAGUGCUGAAAACAGUGCUUGGCACAUGGGAAUACUAUAUAAGAGUUGUUAAAUCAAUAAAAUAUUUAGGAUGUUGGAAUCACAUUGUGAAAGCUCCAUGAUUGUUAAUUUUGCUAUUAGACACAGCUGAAUGUUUCUCAGUGAAAUGACAAUCAUACUAAAGUCACCAGUAAACCAUCUCAUCUCUUCAUUGCUUAUUCUAAAUUGAGUUUCUUUCCCACUCCUGCUCACAGCUUUAUACAGCAAGGUAAUUUAGCACUUUAGGACUUUAAUGAGACCUAUUUGAUAUCAUUGUAAUUCUAAUUAGAUACUUUGGCUAGGAAACAUACUUAAGCCUUUAAAAAUUGUCAAUCCCUUGAGAAAACUGAACUGAUUAUUUGGAAAUUUAAAACUACAAGAAUAAAGUUCUUGAAAUUAGAAUAAACAGACUUACCUGGCAGGCAUCCACACGUGGCUCCAGGAACCCGGCACACAACAUUCCAGAUGUGAUGACUCUGCCAUCUGCCUCCCCAUUGUUGCAGGUCCUAUUAUCUAUAAUCUUCACUAAUCCCUUGUGGAGUACAUUAGAAGUUGUUCGUAAAGGAAGAAAAUUGUAUAAUUUUUAUUGAUGUCACUAUUAAUCUUUCUGGCUAGGCUAUUAGUAUCUAACUUUAACACUAUGUACAAUUUCUAAAUCAAAUCAGUGUAAAGUAUAAUUAAGCUUUUAGCUGUAGUAACAAAAAAGCAAGUAAUGUUUAUAAACAUACCAAGCUGUUGCUGAAAAAUGACCAUUUUUAGAAAUAUUUAGUGUGUACAUCUAUAUGUAAUAAGAUUUUUUCUUUUGAAUUGUUUUGAAAUUUUAUA
ensembl:lncRNA UBA6-DT UBA6 divergent transcript